GUGUUUGCCGUUGUGAUGCGGGCGUGUGUGUGUGGAGUCUGUGUGCGCUGGAGAGAGCAGUGUGUCCCCCCGAGGACCUCGGGGUCCCAGAGCUGUGCACACGCUGCCCCCCUGGACGUACAGAACCAGCAGGUGGCAUCGCUCCACACAGGCCACCGAACGGCCCUGCCCCGCCCCCUGCCACGCCCUGUGCGUGCAUCCGGGUCCCCGCGCAGUGGCUGCACGCAGCCCACCUCUCCCGACGAUCCGGGUCCUCCCGCCCUUCGCGGUGAUUCUGUCGCGAACCCUCUCACGGCAGCUAUGAGACUGCUGCGCUCCCCAGACGAGGAAACCUGGUCUCCCGGAGCCAGCUCUGGGACAAACCAGCUUCUAUGUCAUGAGCACACUCAGGCAGCUCAUUGGAGAGAUCUGCAUGGUAAAGCAAUGAGGCCUCCUGCCAGCAGCCAUGUGAGUGGCAUCUUGGAGCCAGACCCUCCAGCCCCAGUCAAGCCUUCGGAUGCCUGCAGCCCUGGCUGACAUUUUAACCACAACUUCAUGAGAGAUUCUGAGCCAGAAUCACCCAGCUAAGCUGCUCCCGGGUUGCCAGGU
ensembl:lncRNA novel transcript